GUUCGCCAGAGCUUCCCCCAACCGCUCUGACCUGGAACGGACACAAUACACCAUCAGAUAACAGAGGUCUGUAGGAGGCAAUGCAACCUGGGAUUCUAUCUUAUCGUCAUUUGUUGUCCGACCAAAGCACUAAAGAUGGUCUAGAGAGGAGCAGGAACAUCAUCCACCAGUAGAACAUCCAAGCUGGGAUCACGGGAACAGAUCUCAGAGAAUGUCAGAGUGAAAAAUGUGAGAAAAGCUUCAACUUGGGAGGCCUGAAAUAAAAAAAAUAAAAAAAACAGUGUGAGACUUGGCUGAGACUGAUCUGACAACGACAAGCUGAUGUCACCAAACCCCAUCAUCUGGGUUGAACACAACGGAGGGAGAAUUAAACUUCAGCCUUUAAACCUUGUGCUAUCCUAGGCACUUUGACAUUGGGAGUGGGGUCAUCUAGACCCACUAGACCUUCCACGGACAUCUGCGAACGACGAACGCAAGAAAAAGAUGUGCGAGCAUUCAGACCACGGGGACCAAUCGGAGAGAAGACAGCUGACGGAACACUCAACCACACAGUCCUCCAGCAGCGGCCACGUGCUGGUUACACCAAACUGCAACAAAAGGAAGGAAAGAGUUGGCCGUUACCUGCUCGCACAUCUGCAUCGCCACAAUCUUCCCAUCGCUCCGCACGCAGUCCAGAAGACGCAGCCGGAAACCCGGACCGCAGACAGCACCCUCACUCAGCUGGCAC